rnacentral:rRNA from 1 species
AUUGAACGCUGGCGGCAGGCCUAACACAUGCAAGUCGAGCGGAUGAAGGGUGCUUGCUCCUGGAUUCAGCGGCGGACGGGUGAGUAAUGCCUAGGAAUCUGCCUGGUAGUGGGGGAUAACGUCCGGAAACGGGCGCUAAUACCGCAUACGUCCUGAGGGAGAAAGUGGGGGAUCUUCGGACCUCACGCUAUCAGAUGAGCCUAGGUCGGAUUAGCUAGUUGGUGGGGUAAAGGCCUACCAAGGCGACGAUCCGUAGCUGGUCUGAGAGGAUGAUCAGUCACACUGGAACUGAGACACGGUCCAGACUCCUACGGGAGGCAGCAGUGGGGAAUAUUGGACAAUGGGCGAAAGCCUGAUCCAGCCAUGCCGCGUGUGUGAAGAAGGUCUUCGGAUUGUAAAGCACUUUAAGUUGGGAGGAAGGGCAGUAAGUUAAUACCUUGCUGUUUUGACGUUACCAACAGAAUAAGCACCGGCUAACUUCGUG